rnacentral:tRNA from 1 species
AAUGAAGUGCCUGAUUAAAGGGCUACCUUGAUAGGGUAAAUUAAGUAAUUUAGAUUACCUUCAUUA